AGGUAAAUAUAUUAAAAAUGUGCUCAUGUUAUAAAACAUAUAUGUAUAUAUAAAGCAAAAAAAAGUAUAUAUAAAAAAUAGGAAAGUAAAAUAAAAAAUGUAGGUAUAAUAAUAAUAUACAAUAUUAUAGUAAUAAAUAAAAUAAAACAAAAUAAUAAUUUGGCGUAAUUGUGAUAAAAACUAAAAAAUGGGUUUAAUUGAAUUUAAAACGAAAAAAAUGGGGGCAAAUUCAAAAAUAAUAAAAAAGGAUCAAUUCGAACACGCUAGCGCAAAUGGGGGACUAAAAAGGAGAUAAUUCCUUCCUUUCCAAAACGUUGCGCAAUGAGGUAUCAAAUUGAAAUAAAAAAGGAAUACGCGGCCUAAUUUUAAAACCAGUGGAAAGGAUUUAAUUGGAGUGCACUGCAAAAAGGAAGGGCUAAAUGCGUAAUUUCCCCAUUUGGCCAGAACGAGUGGAUCCUCCCCUCCGGGUCGGGUCACCGCGCGGGUCGCACCUGGCUAAAACGGCACCGUUUUUAAAUCAAUAUUUAAAACUGGUUUUCUAAAAAAACCCUAAUAGUUGCAGUUUUUAAAAAAAAAUACAAAAAUAAAAAAAUAAAAAGCAGAGAUGCUCUGCUAGGGUUCCCAACCCUUUGCCACCGCCGCUCCCGGCCUACGGUCGAAUCAAAUCCUGGCCCUCCAACUCCGAUUCCAACCAUAGCAAGCCUAGGACGUCGAUGACGACACCGCAGGUAAGAAACCCCUCUUUUAAACUACUUCUUUUGUAAAAAAAAAGAAAAAACAAAAUAAGCAUAAAAGAACCAAAAAAAAGAAUCGAAAUCACCUUUAGAUCUAAAAAACAAAUCUCUCGUAUUCUCACUGUAUUUUUUUUUCGAUUUUUCCCCUUUUUACAAAAGACCGACUGUUUUAUAGCCUAACACUAACCUAUUUUCCUUGUUUUUUGUUGUUUUACAUUAUUUGGACUCUUUGAGUCCGUUUUGCAAGUAUUUGAGGAGCGAACGGAGAGCGUGGGGAGGCCGAUCACCGAGUCUUGCGGUGAUUGGACGUUGGGCGCGACGUGGGGCUGAUGGGGCUUGCGGCGCUGGACAUGCGGCUAGGGUUUGGGUGUUUUGGGGUUUGGUUUAGUUGUUUAGGCUUAGGUUAGUUUUGGGCCUGUGAAGAGAACUGGGCUACGCCUAAUAAUUUAUUUGUGCAGGCCCGGGCUAAUUGAGUCUGCUACAGCUGCCCCUCUUUGCUCGUUGUCGUGUAACGGGAACAGAGUAAAGACUACAAGGCCCAAUUAUGCCCAGUCCCACUGAACCUCAACUUCUUCAAUGCUUCUCUUCUUUGGGUAGCAUCAUUCCCUCCUACUGCAUCUCCAGAGGUAUACGAAACAAUGAUUUGAUCCACUCCACUGCAAUGUUAGGGAGAUAGGAUUCAUACUUUGUAGUUUCUCAAAAGAACAAAAUUUGCUAUCUUUAACCUGCUCCACUGCGACUUCAGGGAGAUAAGAUCUGUGGCUUCAAUUUGUUCUGCUACAACUUAAAGAUAAGUCUGAUGCGAUCUGCUCUACUGCAACUUCAGAGAGAUGAGAUCUGCGGUUUUAAUCCACUCCAUUGCAACUUCAAGGAGAUAGGAUUGGUUACUUUUGUCUGUUCCACUGCAACUUCAGGGAGAUAAGACUUGUAUCUUUGAUCUACUCCACGCCAGUACAUGAAGACAAGAUCUGCUUUCUUCGAUCUACUCCACCACCAGUAUGGGGGGAUAGAAUUACUGGCUUCAAUAUACUCUACUGCAACUUCAGGGAGGUAAAAUCCGCCAUCUUCGAUCUGCUCCACUACUGCUUAGGAAGGCAAGAUCUGUAAUCUUCAAUCUACUUCGCCACCAGUAUGGGAAGAUAAGAUAUGUAUAUUCGAUCCACUUCACUACCGAUAUAGGAAGACAGGACCUACUAUCUUUGAUCUACUUCACGCCAGUACAUGAAGAUAAUAUCUAAUUUCUUCGAUCUACUCCACCACCAGUAUGGGGAGACAAGAUCUGUUUCUUUGAUCUUCUUCACGCCAGUACAUGAAGACAAGAUCUAUUUUCCUCGAUAUACUUCACCACCGGUAUGGGAAAACAAGAUUUGCUAUCUUUGAUCUACUCCACCACCAGUAUGGGGAGAUAGAAUUACUGGCUUCAAUAUACUCCACUGCAACUUCAGAGAGGUAAAAUCCGCCAUCUUCGAUCUGCUCCACUACUGCUUAGGAAGGCAAGAUCUGUAAUCUUCACUCUGCUUCGCCACCAGUAUGGGAAGAUAAAAUAUGUAUAUUUGAUCCACUUCGCUACCGAUAUAGGAAGACAGGACCUACUAUCUUUGAUCUACUUCAUGCCAGUACAUGAAGACAAGAUCUGUUUUCUUCGAUCUACUUCGCCACCAGUAUGGGAAGACAAGAUCUGCUAUCUUUGGUCUACUUCACGCCAGUACAUGAAGACAAGAUCCGUUUUUCUUCAAUCUGCUCCACCACGAGUAUGGGGAAGCAAGAUCUGUUUCUUUGAUCGACUUCACGCCAGUACAUGAAGACAAGAUCUGCUUUGCCACCAAUAUGGGAAGGCAAGAUCUGGUAUAUUGGAUCCACUUCGCUACCAAUAUAGGAAGACAGGAUCUGCUGCUUUUCAACCUGCUCCACUAUUGCUCAGGGAGAUAAGGCUUUAUGAUUUCGUCGAUCUGUUCUUUGAGGAACAUAACCUGUAUAAUUUACUUUAUGAACCUAAUCAUGCCUAGUGAUUAGGAUGUCAUGAUCAGAAUGAAUCAAAUACUCCUAACUAGGCAUGUACGAAUGACAUUUGAAUGCUAUGUCAUGAAAAAUGAAUAUUGAAUGUUUAACAUCAUUAUUGCUCAUUAAGGCUUCCUUUAUGGCAACAAUGCUUUGUCAAAACUUGCAAAUUUUAAUCUUAACUAUUGACUUCCUAGAUAUCUCCGACCUUUUAACCCGGUGAGGGUCUAAAUAAUAGUCCUGUUUCAGGUUCUUGAGCUGUUUAAAGAUUUCUAGAGUAAUAUGAAAAACUUCCCUUGUGAAAGUUUUACUAGUCCAUUAAUUGUCAUUCUAAUGCAACAUGCUUGCGAAAAGAUCACAACGAUGAAUAAAACAAAAUUAGUUUGGGAGUAUAGCUCGCAAUGGUUUGUCAAUGAUAGAGGAAUUGUCUGGGGACAUUUAUAUUGGAAAAGAAUGAAAUAUUUUCAAACAACGAAUUCAAUACAAAUACUAUGAAUAGGUGCCCCAGAUAUCUCUGCUUUGAAUUUCUCUAUACAACUUUUUGAAGACCCUUCUGAAUUCAACACGUGUUUAGAAGGUUCACAGUACUUUGUUGAUGCCCCAAGACGUCGUCUAUUCUUUUCUACCGAUUUAGGUACAGCAAGACCACCACGUGACAAUCAAAUUUAAGCCGCCCUUUUCAGGUUUUCAACUCAAAUCCCCUUUGGUCUUAAGGUGCCCUUUGCGGGAUUUCACCUUAGCCUCUCCUUUUUUUGGGGGAAUCAAAGCGCCCUUUGCGGGUUUUCGCCUUGGUUCCUUUCCCUCUUCAAGUAAAGUAUCUCUUGACCGAGUCUGAAUUUACUAGUUUGGGCAAGUUUCUUCCAUCCAUUUCAGCCAGGAUUAGGGCUCUUCCAGAAAAGGCCUUUUUUACAACAUAAGGACCUUCCCAAUUCGGCAUCCAUUUCCCCCUAAAAUCUUUUUGUAGAGGAAGAAUUUUUCUCAACACUAGGUCCCCCUCGUGAAAUUCUCUGGGUCGGACCUUCUUGUUGUAGGCUCACAUCAUUCUUUUCUGGUACAUCUGACCAUGCUGAAUAGCCUUUAGCCUUUUUCCCUCUAUCAAGUUCAACUGAUCAUAUCGAGAUUGAACCCAUUCUGCUUCAUCCAAUUUUAGCUCAGUCAAAACCCAGAGAGAAGAGAUUUCAACUUCGAUAGGCAAGACUGCCUCCAUGCCAUAAACUAAGGAGAAAGGAGUUGCCCCGGAGGAGGUCCUGAUUGACGUUUGAUAAGCAAGGAGGGCAAACGGUAAUUUCUCGUGCCAGUCCAUGUAAGUCUCAGUCAUCUUCCCCACAAUCUUUUUUAUAUUUUUAUUGGCCGCUUCCACUGCACCAUUCAUUUUUGGGCGAUAUGGCGAUGGAUUGUGAUGUCUGAUCUUGAAUUGACUGCAGACUUCUGCUAUUGAGUUGUUGUUCAAGUUCAGCGCGUUGUCGGAUAUGAUUCUUUCAGGCAUUCCAUAUCGACAUAUGAUCUCUCUCUUCAAGAACUUGCUGACUGAUGACUUUGUAACGUUAGCAUACGAAGCAGCCUCUACCCAUUUGGUAAAGUAGUCAAUAACCACAAAUAUGAAACGAUGCACAUUUGAAGCCUUCGGCGAUAUUGGCCCGAUGACAUCUAUACCCCACAUGGGGAAAGGCCAUGGAGAAGUCAUGACAUGAAGAUGCGAAUGAGGUGCAUGCAUUUUAUCACCAUAGAUUUGACAUUUAUGGAACUUUUUGGAGUAAUUGAUGCAAUCCCCUUCCAUGGUGGACCAAUAAUAACCGAACCUCAUAAUUUGUCUAGCUAUUGUGAACCCACUGGCAUGCGUUCCACAGAUGCCCUCAUGGACUUCUUCCAGAAUUUUCUUUGCUUCUACGGCAUCCACACAUCUUAAAAGUACAUGAUCUUUUCCCCUCAUGUAUAAGAUCUCCCCAUCUAAGACGUAAUCAAUGGCUAGCCUUCUUAGAGUUCUCUUUUCAUUCUCAGUUGCCUGGCCAGGAUACUUACGAUUUUUUACAUAUCGUAGAAUAUCUUGAUACCAAGGGCUAUCAUCGAUUUCUCCUUCUUCAACAUUGUAACAAUGAGCUGGGUCUUCAUGGAUACUUAUUUGUAUAGGCUUCAUAUCCUCAUGUCUGCUCACCCUGAUCAUGGAGGCUAAAGUAGCUAGUGCAUCAGCCAUCUGGUUCUCAUCUCGUGGGAGAUAGCAAAAAGUGAUAUCCUCAAACUCCUUAAUCAAUUCGAGGACCAACUUUCGAUAACUGACUAAUUUGGAAUCUCUCGUUUCCCAUUCACCCCUGAGUUGAUAUAUCACCAAUGCCGAAUCUCCAUAGACCUCUAACACUUUGAUUCUUCGCUCUAUAGCUGCACGAAUACCCAUGAUGCACGCUUCGUAUUCUGCCAUGUUGUUUGUACAAUCAAAAUCCAAUUUGCAAGUGAAAGGAUAAUGAUCACCAUUCGGGGAUACUAAGACUGCCCCAAUUCCAUUGCCCACAGUGUUCGAGGCUCCAUCAAAGUUUAGCUUCCAACUGUGACCUUUUUGGGGAUUUUCUUCAGUAGCGGCUACAUACAACAAGUCUUCAUUCGAAAAAUCAAAACUUAACGGUUCGUAAUCUUCCAAAGCCCUACUAGCUAGAAAGUCAGCAAUUGCACUCCCCUUCACAGCCUUUUGGCUCACAUAGACAAUAUCAAAUUCAGACAGUAAGAUCUGCCAUCGGGCUAUCCUUCCAUUCAAAGCAGUUGACUCCAUCAUAUACUUUAACGGGUCCAGCUUUGAAAUUAACCAGGUCGUGUGGUAUAACAUAUACUGCCUUAAUCUCUGAGUUGUCCAAAUCAAGGCACAACAUAAUUUCUCGAUAGGCGAAUAUCUCAUUUCACAGUCAGUGAAUUUCUUGCUGAGAUAAUAUAUCGCCAUUUCUUUUCUCCCUGUUUCAUCAUGCUGACCUAGCACACACCCCAUGGAAUUGUCAAAUACCGUUAGAUACAAUAUCAGAAGCCUAUCCGGGCUAGGUGGUGACAGUACUGGAGUAUUAGACAAAUACUGCUUCACCUUGUUAAAAGCUUCUUCGCAUUCCUCAUCCCAAGUACUAGGAUUAUGUUUCUUCAGAAGACGAAAUAUAGGGUCACAUUUCUCAGUCAGCUGUGAAAUGAACCUAGCGAUGUAAUUCAGCAUUCCGAGGAAUCCUCGAACUUCUUUCUGAGUGCAGGGUGAAGGUAAAUCCCGUAUUGCCUUAACUUUGUCUGGGUCAAACUCGAUUCCCUUCUCACUGACUAUGAAGCCUAGUAACUUUCCUGACCUGGCCCCGAAAGUGCACUUCGCUGGAUUAAGCUUGAGCUGGAACUUCCUUAGUCUUAAGAAUAAUUUUCUCAAGACCCGCACAUGUUCGCCCUCCGUUCUAGAUUUCGCGAUCAUAUCAUCAAAGUAAACAUCGAUUUCCCUGUGCAUCAUGUCAUGGAACAAGGCUACCAUGGCUCUUUGGUAUGUCGCUCCUACAUUCUUCAAUCCAAACGGCAUCACUUUAUAACAAAACGUCCCCCAUAACGUAAUGAACGUAGUCUUUCUCAUGUCUUCAGGGUGCAUCUUUAUCUGAUUAUACCCAGAAAAACCGUCCAUGAAGGAAAACAAUGAAAAGCCUGCAGUAUUAUCUACCAAUGUGUCAAUUUGGGCAAUGGGAAAUUGUCCUUUGGACUAGCCUUGUUCAGAUCCCUGUAAUCCACACACAUUCGUACUUUCCCAUCUUUCUUCGGAACUGGUACGAUGUUGGCCACCCACUCAGAAUACUUGACUUCUUGCAGAAAUUCGAAAUCAAGCUGCUUCUGGACCUCUUCUUUUAUCUUCAACACGAUAUCAGGUCUCAUCCUUCCGAGCUUUUGCUGCACUGGCUUGCAAUCUUCUUUGAUGGGAAGGCGAUGGACUACAAUGUCAGUACUUAACCCAGGCAUAUCUUGGUACAACCAUGCAAAGACAUCCUUGAAUUCCUGGAGUAGUCUGAUGAGGUCUUGUCUCGUCUUUGCAGAGAUAUCAGAUCCGAUCUUCACCUCUUUUCCUUCCUCUAAGCUCACAAUUUCUAUUGAUUCCCCAUGAGGUAGGAUUUGCUUCUCAGCCCUUUCUACCAUCUUCAACAAGUCAGGAGACAAACCACAGUCUUCGUCAUCCUCAAAAUCAUGCGAUCCCUCUAAACACGUGUUUCGUUCAAAAUGAGACUCUAAAUUCGUAAGAGUAACAUUCGUAUCAUUGAUAUCAUAGGACCUGUUAUAAAAACAAUAUGGAUUUAAGAAUUUGUUUGGUGCAAUAUGGUCAUGAAUGAAAUGCAAGUGUAGUUUGAGAGAAAUUCAAAAUAACUGCUCUUGUGGAAAGAAAUAUUUGCUCAAAAAAUGACUGCAAACAUGAACUUUAUUAAAAUAACGAUUUUUUUGGACAUGAGCCUAUUUCACAAAGGAAUCCUUAUCACUUCUAGGCUAAAAAGUAAUAAGGGUGUUCUGGACAUUACUCUGAGGAAAUCCUAAAAACUACAGGUAUUUCUUCUGCAGUCUAGUCGUUUAGUUCCCUUCCCGACUCGUAAGGACGAAUAUCUGGCAAAGUUUUUCCUCCCGUCGCUUCUUCAUACACGGCGUGAAUACUCUCUAACUCCGUGUUAAUACUUCUGACCCCUAGCAUUCUUUGAUAGACGAAUCCUCCUGAUACAAAAGUCUUGGAUAGGUAAGGAAAGGUCAUGGGUUCCCAUUUGACUUCAUCACCUGUCAAACGAGCCCUUCUUCUCUCUCGCUUCUUUUCCUGCUCUAUCCUCCUCUGCCUAGCAUCUGGCUUGUAUCCUAAGCCAAAACGGUCCUGCUUGUCUUUCAACCCUGCAAUCUCAACUCGGCCCUGAAGAUAUUUCCCCAAUCCUUUUCUCAGCAAAGCUCCCUUCCCAACUGUCAAUUGCAAACCCACUUUUGUGGUCUUUGAUAUUCUUGGCAUCGGGAUCUUGUUUCCCUCACGGAUGAAUGUUGCAUUUACGAACUCCAAGGAACGGAAAGAGCACUCGAUUGCAUCAUCACUUGUUUCCAAAUAAGGCGCAUCGUUGGUCAUAGAUGCAAUGAUAUCUUCUUCAGCAUUUAUCGUCACUACCUGGCCUUCUGACACCAGCUUCAAUUUUUGAUGUAACGAUGACGGUACCGCCCCUGCUGAAUGAAUCCAUGGCCUUCCUAAUAGGCAACUGUAAGAAGGCUUGAUGUCCAUAACCAAGAAGUCUACCUCAUAGAUAGUUGGGCCAAUUAACAAGGGUAAGUCAAUUCUUCCCAUGACCUUCCUCUCGGUGCCAUCAAACGCUCUCACCAUAUUCUGGCACGACUGCAUAUGUGAACUAUCCAUAGGUAGCCUGUUGAGCGUGGAUAGAGGAAAUACGUUCAGUGCCGACCCGUUGUCUACCAGAACUCCCGGUAAUAUGUACCAUUUACACCUUGCAGUGAUGUGUAAAGCUCUAGUAGAUCCCAUACCCCCAGGUGGUAUUUCAUCAUCGCUAAAUGAGAUGAAAUUAUCAGAUCUUAUAUUACCGACCAGUCGAUCCAACUUGUUAACAAAGAUAUUGUCGGCCACAUAAGUUUCAUUUAGCACCUUCAGUAGUGCAUUUCGAUGUCCCUCCGAGUUCAGGAGUAAAGCUAGCACAGAUAUGCGAGCUGGUUGUUUGUGCAGCUGUUCCACAAUGCUGUACUCGCUAUGCUUUAUGAACUUCAAGAACUCUCUAGCUUCCUCCUCCUUGAUUGGUUCAUUGACCAACAAUUCAGGUUCGACUGCCUUCUUCUUCUUUCCAACCGAAGUUUCUUCUUUUACUGGCUCUACUCGAUCUUUCAUCUGUUUGCAGUGCCUUCCUUUAUCCUGAUCCUCUUUACUGACCAUAUCCUCCUUCCCUGGGAUUGUCACAUUACAAUCGUAAUUCCAAGGAACCAUCAUGUUAUCCUUAUAUGCAAACACAUCCGGUUUUUGAAUGAUUACUUUUGGUGUUAUUAGUGCCCCAACCUCACUGUUCUGAGGUCGUGAGAUGAUGACCACAGGACGGUUAGCCUUCGGGACUCCCAAUGCCAACUCUGAUGCGCAUACAUAACUCUUCUCUUGAACUCCUUCACAGAAUUCCACCUCCCUAUUAUCCAUCAUAUCUUGUACCAUGGCUCUGAACUCCGUACACUCUUGGAUUUCAUGCCCCACUUCAUGGUAGAACUCACAGUAGUUCCCCCUCUUUUCACAACUUCCUUCUGAGACGAUUAGUCCCCUUUUCACCAUCUCCUUCCAGACCCAUCUCAGAGGAGUUUUCACAUCCACAAUGUCUGCCUUGAUCCUUCUGUCUUCGCCCGCCAUAUUUACCCCACCAUCUGUGUAGUUUGGUAAUGGGUUUUCUGCCUUGGUUGAGUCAUCAAAUUUAACGACACCCAUACCAAUGAGCCUUUCAACCAACUUCUUAAAGGUCGUACAGUUUUCUAUGGAAUGCCCUGUUAUUCCCGCAUGAUAGUCGCACUGUGCAUUCGCAUCGUACCAUUUGGGAUACGGGGGUUGCAAGGGCUUCAGAUAGAAAGGGGAAACUAUGUGUGCGUCAAAUAAAUUUCGGUAUAGCUCCCUGUAUGACAUAGGAAUUGGCAUGAAUUGAGGCCUCUCAACAUUUCACCUUGUGCCGACCUCCUGUCUCGACGAGCUUUGCUGACUGGCAGCCACCUUUCCUGGCUGACUCACUAUUACUGACUUCGAGUAACCCUUGUUGUACAUGUUCGUGUUGAUCACCUCACUCUCCUUCCUCUUCGAGGCUGAUCUUCUAUUACUCUCUCCCGCAUCAAUCUUCCCACUCCUGAUGGCAUUCUCAAUCAUCUCGCCAUUCAUGACUAUGUCAGGAAAGCUUUUUGUGGCACUUCCUAGCAUAUGUGUAAUGAACGGUGCCUUCAGGGUGUUAAUGAACAACAUAGUCAUUUCUUUUUCCAGGAGCGGUGGCUGAACCUGGACCGCAACCUCCCUCCAUCUCUGAGCGUACUGCCUGAAGCUUUCACUUGGCUUUUUCUCCAUGUUUUGAAGGGUGAUUCUAUCAGGAGCCAUGUCUGUCACAUGACUAUAUUGUUUCAUGAAUGCUUGCGCCAAGUCCCUUCAUGAACCAAUCGUGGCACGACUCAACUGAUUGUACCACUUGGAUGCUACCCCUGCAAGGCUGUCUUGGAAGUAAUGUAUUAAUAGCUGGUCAUUAUUAACGUAUCCAGCCAUUCGCCUGCAGAACAUGGUGAUAUGAGCCUCUGGGCAAAUCGUCCCAUUGUACUUCUCGAAUUCAGACAUCUUAAACUUAUGAGGGAGUACUAGAUUUGGCACUAAACUCAGCUUUUUUGCGUCAAUGCCUCGAUAACUUUCAGUGACUUCCAUCGCCUUGAACUUCUCUUCGAGCCACCUGUAUCUUUCCUCUAACUGUCUCAGUAACUCCUCCUUCACUCUUUCCUUCUCAACCACUUCAUCAAAGUCAGGAAUGACAGAGUUAAUAGGAUUAUUUUCAGGAUUAGAACCUGGCCCAGUUUGGAGGUUCGAAAUACCAGCCCGAAACUGUUGAGGCAUGAUAGUGACAGUAGAUUUGAGCGGAUACUCAGCUUGGGCUCACAUAUGUGGAGGAGUGAAACCUAGAGGGUAAAAAAUUUCAUCAUCAUUUCCCACAUCAACAUUUGCCAUGGGGCCCUUUCCUUUAUCACUUCCCUUAGUUAUCAGUUGGGUUAACUUUGCCACUAUAUCUUCUUGGGAUUCUCGCAUCUUCUCAGACAUCUCUUGUUUCAUCUUGUCUAACCGCUCCUGCAUUUGUAGCUGAAGCCGAUCUUGCAUCUCCUUCUGGUACUGUUCAAGCUUCUCUAAUCUCUGAUCCAUAUCUUUUGUCUUUGCUCGAGUGCCGUAUCGGUGUUGGGUUGGUUGGUUUCCAGGUUAACUGAGUAAUGAUUUUAACUUAUUAGGAUUUAAUAAAGGUCUUUAAUGCAUAUGAUGCGAUGCAUGAGGUGAAUGCAAAAAAAAGCGUUAAUUAUAAUUCAAUUCCACUCAGAAAACUUUACUAGAGAAAAAAUUUCUUUACAUAAAAUGGCUAUAAAUAAGGCCUUGCCCUAAUACUUAGAAUUUUAACCUCCCUAAGUAAUGAUGCCAACUUUUGCCCCUAAUCUGAUUCCGAUUCGUAUUUCACACUUAGUAUAUCAGCCUGUAUUGCCAAAGUCUGCAGGUGCUCAGCUACCCCUUGAAUCUGAACCACAGCUUCUCCCAUAAUGUGAUCCCUUCUUACAACUUGAUCCUGGAGAUAGUGAAGCUGUUCACUUUGAUGAUCUUCGUUUGCUUCCAGAUGCUCAAUCCUGGCUUCAUAGUUCUGCGAUGCUAUCUCUAAUUCCUCUAUAGUUUUCUUCAUUUGCUCGAUCCUGCUUAAACUUGCUUGCAGUUCUGCCACUGAAUUUUGAUUUCGGUAUUGAUAAACAAUCUUCUCAAGUUCGGCCACUCUAGCCUUUAGUUUAUCUAUUUCAUUCUAGCUUUCUGACAAACUCCUCUCAAAUGACUUAUUUUGCUUUUGAGCCUCCUGAAAUCUCUUUUCCCACCUAUCAGCCUUGGCCUUUUCUUCUUGAACCUCUUGACGCCAUUGCUCCGAGGUUUUUCCCAAACCAGCAGUUCUCACUGACAAAUGUAAUCUCUUAUAAUCUGUCUUCAAGCUGUUCAGGUCUUCCUCGACUUUGCGCUUCCCUUUUCUCAGGCAUUCGGUUUCCAGUUUUUGAACAUCUAUGUCCAGCCUUAAAUUCAUCUUCUCCUCUUCCAUUUGCUCUAUCUUCUUCUCAAGCUCAGAAUUUCUUCUUUCAAAAUCCUGCUUUAUAAUUUCUAGCUCAGAAAGGGCCAUAUGUACAUGCUUUUCCACAAAUUGACUGUCUCCUUGACCUGGUACAGGUAUGUUAUCAUUGAUCCUUCUAUUAAGCCACUCGAUAUAUUCAGGCAUCGUUGAUGGACUUACUGCCAACCUUUUCAAUCGGCGAGUCUGCCUCUAAGCAUUAGUCAUUUCUCAUAUCUUCUUCUUGUAACCAUCACACUUAUACGAGAAUUCACACUGAGCUAAUCCAUGGGUUGUUGGUAUGAACUGCCUUGACCUAUACUGUCUCAGUACCAAUAACGGUGCAUAGCCAAUAGCCCUCCAAAUCCCAAGUAAAUGGACCCAGUCAAAAUCUCCACACCUAUAUAAGAUCUCAUCUGAUAGCAUCCAAUGAGCUCUCCAUUCAAUAUCCCCCUCUUGAAGAUUCUGAAGAUUUGCCAUCCAUUUUUCCUCUGAGAUAUCAUCCUGCCUCGGUAAUGCCACUAUUUCCUUCAAGGGCGAAUAAUUUUCAGAAAAAACCCGAUAAGAAACCUUAUCCACCUUCCAAAAGUGACUGUAAAACCAUGCUAAAAGGAGCUGCAUGCAUCCAAUGAAUCUACCCUCACCAACUCUUCGACAUUCAUUCAGAGAUCUGAAGGUUUCUGCCAGAAUAGCUGGAACCGGUGUAAUCCCCUUGUCAAGACGGUCAAAAAGGUCAGUGACUGCUUCAUCAAUAUGUCCCAAAGCUUUAGGGAAGACAACUAAACCAUAAAUACCCAAGGCAAAGACAUCAACCUUUUUCCUCGUAUCCAGGUGUGCUAGAAUUAAAUCUUUCAGGUUCUUCCAAGGAAUGCACUUACUAUCUUCCUUUUGCUUGAUUCGUGCUGCGACCCAUUGCUCACUCAUCCCCGUAAUAUUCGUCAACUUCUUCAAAAAAGUUGAAACAUUAGCAGCUCUUGAAUAGGCUUUGUCCACUUGAAUUUUUGAACAACGUAGUAAUGCCGUAUAUUCCUCCACCGUAGGCACUAAAUCAACUUUUUCAAAGGUAAAGAAACUAUAGGCAGGAUUCCAAAAUUGGGCCAAAGCACGAAACAAGUGCUUAUCCACCUUUAAGUCAAGCAAGUAAGGUAAGUCACCAUAGCUAGAAUAGAAGAGCUGCUUAAUCUCAUCAUUCCACCGGUCCCUGAUUUCCUUUAGUUCCUGUAGGUUAUUCUGAGUCACGCUAACACGAGUGAAGUCCCACAACUCUGACAAAUAUCCUUCGGCCAAACUAUCACCUUUCUCCUGCUGUGUUGUCUCAGACCAAGUUUGGACAGCCGCAUUAUCUUCCACCUUAUCAAGAAACCCUUUUUCCGUGAUAAGCUUUCUAUCUAGCAACCGAAUAUGAACUAACGCCCUUUUAGGAUGAAAUGUUAUGCAAUCAUGAUGUCAUGCAAUCAAAACAAAAGAAACCCAAGUCAGUAUCACAUAUAAAGAUAUAAACAAACAUAAAAUAGCAAGAAACACUUAAACAGGAAUCCCCUAGGGUUUUGGGAUAGUUCUACCUAGGUCAAGUUCCUAAAGCUCACUAUAUGAGGUUUAGUUUCUAGAGUAAGGGUACCCGAACCAGUAGACUCCUCGAUCCUCACCCAUUAUAAGCUCAUGUGGAUCGAGUUCGGUUCAGGGGGACACAUUUCCCUAUGGCUGCACGGAGAUGAAAAUCUCACGAAGACAUAGGUACGGAUGUAUCUCGGAAGCGGUCCACUACCCUGCACGGAGGUGAAAACCUCACGAAGGACUAGUUUCUCGCUCCCACUUAAAGGGUAAAAUGCAAAAUGCAAAUGCAAAGUUGCCAACAUACCAAGAUGAAAAAAACGAUGAAUGCGAAGGGAACUCAUGAAUUUUUUAAAACUUUUGAUUUUCGACACAAAGACAAAUAUAAUCAGUUUAUGGCUCGACUCUCUAACGUCCCCAGUGGAGUCGCCAAGCUGUCGAAACACCUUUUGAAAACAAAAAUUUAGUUGUCGACUUUUUAAAAAUAAAACUGGAGUCACCACCGAUCCUUUAUUAAGGUGUGACCGGCACACCUUAAAAAUUAUUUUGGUCUGCGAAUUUUGAAAACAGGUUCGGGAGUCAGUUACUCACGAGGAAGGGUUAGCACCCUCGUAACGCCCAAAAAUCAGUACCAAAUUGACUAUUUAAUGUCCUAGUGUCGAAAGUUAAAAAAGAUUUUAAAAUAGGCUUGAAUGAUGAAAUUUGCAAAAGGAUAAUCAAUUGUUCAAGUCAUGUAAAGAAAUCGAGUCCCAAUACGUUAGGGUACAAUUCCUCAUAAUCCCCAAACUUGAAUAUCACUUUUAUUUUAUACGAAAAAUCUUCAUUUCGAAAAAGUAACAUGCCACACCCAAUACGUUAGGGCACAACAAGUUGAGUUCCCAAAAAUGAUUUUAUGCAUUUUGAAUAAAAAAUAUUCUCGGUCAUUUAGGAUUGACAAAGAAAAUCAGAACCCAAUACGUUAGGGCUCAAUUUCCCUCGAGAAUCCCAAACUUCCAAUAAUGCUUUUAUUCAAAAAAAAAACCUUUAAAUCAAGAAAAUAACUUUGAUGAAUGGUUAAAACCAAAAUACAUUUUCAAAAAGGGUAUGUUAAAGAGUUAAUAUACAAUAUGAUACAGAUACUAUAAUUUAAAGCAUAUAUACAUAAAUAUUUACAAAUAUAUAUACAAGUACAAUAUACAAGUAAACUUGCAAUCAUAUCUAACACACGUUUACAAGUAUACAUGUAAAAAGAAGGGAUGGAAUAUAUCAGAUAGACCAAUAAAAAUACACGUAUUGAGAAUAAAAUAAAAGCAUAAAAACAUGCACAUGUAUAUAUUUACAGAAUAAAAGAAAUAUAUAUAAACAUAUUAUAAUAUAAAACAUAUAAAAGUUAAAAGAGAUAAAAUAAUAAGGAAAAAAACGAAACAAAUGUAAAAUACAUGUAUUUAUAUAAGUUUUAAGAAUAUAUAAUAAUAGAAAGUGUAAAAUAAUAAAAAUAACUAUAAUAAUUUUUGAAAAAAUAAGUAGGUAAAUAUAUUAAAAAUGUGCUCAUGUUAUAAAACAUAUAUGUAUAUAUAAAGCAAAAAAAAGUAUAUAUAAAAAAUAGGAAAGUAAAAUAAAAAAUGUAGGUAUAAUAAUAAUAUACAAUAUUAUAGUAAUAAAUAAAAUAAAACAAAAUAAUAAUUUGGCGUAAUUGUGAUAAAAACUAAAAAAUGGGUUUAAUUGAAUUUAAAACGAAAAAAAAUGGGGGCAAAUUCAAAAAUAAUAAAAAAGGAUCAAUUCGAACACGCUAGCGCAAAUGGGGGACUAAAAAGGAGAUAAUUCCUUCCUUUCCAAAACGCUGCGCAAUGAGGUAUCAAAUUGAAAUAAAAAUGGAAUACGCGACCUAAUUUUAAAACCAGUGGAAAGGAUUUAAUUGGAGUGCACUGCAAAAAGGAAGGGCUAAAUGCGCAAUUUCCCCAUUUGGCCAGAACGCGUGGAUCCUCCCCUCCGGGUCGGGUCACCGCGCGGGUCGCACCUGGCUAAAACGGCGCCGUUUUUAAAUCAAUAUUUAAAACUGGUUUUCUAAACAAACCCUAAUAGUUGCAGUUUUUUUUUAAAAAAAAUACAAAAAUAAAAAAUAAAAAGCAGAGAUGCUCUGCUAGGGUUCCCAACCCUUAGCCACCGUCGCUCCCGGCCUACGGCCGAAUCAAAUCCUGGCCCUCCAACUCCAAUUCCAACCGUAGCAAGCCUAGGACGUCGAUGACGACACCGCAGGUAAGAAACCCCUCUUUUAAACUACUUCUUUUGUAAAAAAAAGAAAAAACAAAAAGCAUAAAAGAACAAAAAAAAAAAAGAAUCGAAAUCACCUUUAGAUCUAAAAAACAAAUCUCUCGUAUUCUCACUGUAUUUUUUUUCGAUUUUUCCCCUUUUUACAAAAGACCGACUGUUUUAUAGCCUAACACUAACCUAUUUUCCUUGUUUUUUUGUUGUUUUACAUUAUUUGGACUCUUUGAGUCCAUUUUGCAAGUAUUUGAGGAGCGAACGGUGUGCGUGGGGAGGCCGAUCUCCGAGUCUUGCGGCGACUGGACGUUGGGCGCGACGUGGGGCUGAUGGGGCUUGCGGCGCUGGACAUGCGGCUGAGGUUUGGGUGUUUUGGGGUUUGGUUUAGUUGUUUGGGCUUAGGUUAGUUUUGGGCCUGUGAAGAGAACUGGGCUACGCCCAAUAAUUUAUUUGUGAGGGCCCGGGCUAAUUGGGUCUGCUACAUAUUUGAUUAAAAAUAAAAAAAAUAUAUUUAAUAUAUAAUUCGGGCUGGGCUCGGGCCAAAAAAGUUUUAUCCAAGCCCGGCCCGUUUUCUAAACCGGUCUUAUUUUUUUUGCCCAAACCCAUAUUUCGGGUCUAUAUUUUUACCCGAACCCUCCCAUUUUUCGGGCAGGCCGUUGGGUCGGGCCAGGUAUCCCAACCCAUGAUCACCUCUACUUGUGAGUUGCCACACCAGCAUUGUUAAAAAAUUAAUGUUUUAGUUAGCAUUUCGGUUAAAAAAACAAUUUGACUCUUUUUGAAAAGUUAAUUGUCAAACUUAACUAAAAAUAUAUAUAAGAGCCAAAUUGACAGAAGUUAUAAACAUUGAUGAAUAAGUUGAUCAUUAUUAUUGUUAUUAUUAUUUUGCCAUUAUAAGAUAGAGGAGAAAUUUUAGUAUGGAUCCCUCCACUAUGUUGAUGUUUAGAAUUUAAUCUUCGUAUUUUAAUUUGACGUCUUCUACUUUAUCAAUAACUUUAGUUGGUCCAAAUAGUUAACAUCCUUAACUAUCCGAUUAAAAUGUUGUCAUGAAUUUUUCUUCACCUUUCUAACACACACACAAAAAACAAAAAAAAAACAAAAAUCUAUUUUAGUAUGAUAAAUACACCUUUUUAACAAAUGUAAAAAAAAAAAUUCUAUUUCGGUAUGAUAAGUUUGGAAUGGUAUUUUUAACUGAAAUCAUUAAGAGUGUUAACUAUUUGGACUAACUAAAAGUUAAAGAAUCAGAUCAUGUUAAAUUAAAAUAUAGAUACUAAAUCCUAAAUUUAAACAUAAUAGAAGGACUAUAAUUAUAUUUUGACAUAAAACAAUCUAUACCUAAGAGAAUCAUCUGUCGUUUUCUUUAAUAAAAAUUUUAAAUUUUAAAAUUAUUUUUAAUUAAAAUUUUUAAAUAGUAAAUAAAUAAUUCCUAUCAUAAUUAUUUUAAUAAAUAUAUACUACAAAUUUUCUAUAAACCUCUAAAUAAUUAUAAUAUAAUUAAAAUUAUAUUUAAAAGUUUGAAGCCCAGCGAAAGUGGGCAAAGCAUUCUAGUGUGGAUAUUAAUUUGAUGGAAUUUUCUUGAGAGAAUGAGAACUUUUGGACACCAAAUUCAGAUACGCAACAUGAUAGAGAUUAAUACAUAUUGAAAUAAUUUUUGAUACAACAUUAUCAAUAAUAAUAUAAUAUAUUAUCAUUAAAUAAUAGUAAUAAUUUU
rnacentral:lncRNA from 1 species